GACGAACGCUGGCGGCGUGCUUAACACAUGCAAGUCGAACGAAGAGCGAUGGAAGCUUGCUUCUAUCAAUCUUAGUGGCGAACGGGUGAGUAACGCGUAAUCAACCUGCCCUUCAGAGGGGGACAACAGUUGGAAACGACUGCUAAUACCGCAUACGAUCUAAUCUCGGCAUCGAGGAUAGAUGAAAGGUGGCCUCUACAUGUAAGCUAUCACUGAAGGAGGGGAUUGCGUCUGAUUAGCUAGUUGGAGGGGUAACGGCCCACCAAGGCGAUGAUCAGUAGCCGGUCUGAGAGGAUGAACGGCCACAUUGGGACUGAGACACGGCCCAGACUCCUACGGGGGGCAGCAGUGGGGAAUCUUCCGCAAUGGACGAAAGUCUGACGGAGCAACGCCGCGUGAGUGAUGACGGCCUUCGGGUUGUAAAGCUCUGUUAAUCGGGGACGAAAAGGGCCCUUC
rnacentral:rRNA from 1 species